ACAAGGGACAUUGAUUUCAGGCUAUUUGUGCCACACCAGAGAGAUGCCUGUUGAUUUUUCGUGCUAGCCCCUCUAAUCAGGCACUGAUUUACAACCAGGAUGCAAAGUGAAUGUAAUUACCAGCAUUUAACCACCAGGAAUUGAAUAGAUUCAACUAAAUGUGGAUUUAGUGACGGCUGCUAAUGAUCCUGUGAACCUCUGGAGACGAUGGUGUACUGAUGGAGGUCGUCAGGUGCGUGCAGUUACGGAGAGCCACGGGGUGGUGGCGCUGGAGGGCUUGUGUCAGCGGAGCGGAGUGAAAGGGGAGGAGCAGCAUCGGGAGUAAAGUGGCCACACGGUGAGUCUGCCAGUCCGUCCGAGCGAGUCGCUCACAGCGCAGAUCCGCCGCUGCCGCGCACCGAGCGCACAGAGACGCGUCUAUCCAGUCCCGUCCUCUGUCCACACUGAAGUGACGAGCCUGGGCCGAGCACCGAGGGGGUCUACUCGCAGAGCAGCGCACGGCCACCACACAGUGUUGCUCCACUGGCUGUAAAAUGCAACUGCGGUCUUUGCGGGAUAAAGACAGCGCUCACGCAUAAACCAUCGCCGUAGCGAAACAAGGACAAACGCCCGGAGGAGGAGGGACAGGAGCGGCGAGCGGCAGCAGAGGUGAGACGACAAUACUCCAAAGGUCCAAUUUGUCUGUGAUGAGCAUCCCCAUCCACCAGAGACCAAAGGUACGGUAAGAUACGAAAAGCUCAUUAUCUGAUGUACUAACAAACAUCCUAAUAUUAGACAGACGAGCUAC